rnacentral:rRNA from 1 species
AUUGAACGAUGGCGGCAGGCCUAACACAUGAAAGUCGAGCGAGAGGCGGACGGGGGUGUAAUGUAUGGGGAACUGCCCGAUAGGGGGGGAUAACUACUGGAAACGGUGGCUAAUACCACAUACUAUCGGAUGAACCCAUAUGGGAUUAGCUAGUAGGUGGGGUAAAGGCUCACCUAGGCGACGAUCUCUAGCUGGUCUGAGAGGAUGACCAGCCACACUGGAACUGAGACACGGCCCAGACUCCUACGGGAGGCAGCAGUGGGGAAUAUUGCGCAAUGGGCGCAAGCCUGAUGCAGCCAUGCCGCGUGUAUGAAGAAGGCCUUCGGGUUGUAAAGUACUUUCAGCGGGGAGGCGUUACCCGCAGAAGAAGCACCGGCUAACUCCGUGCCAGCAGCCGCGGUAAUAC